rnacentral:rRNA from 1 species
GUCCACGCCGUAAACGAUGAACACUCGGUGUUAGAGGAUCGAUCCCUCUAGUGCCUUAGCUAACGCGUUAAGUGUUCCGCCUGGGGAGUACGGUCGCAAGAUUAAAACUCAAAGGAAUAGACGGGGACCCACACAAGCGGUGGAGCAUGUUGUUUAAUUCGACACAAAACGAGGAACCUUACCAAGGCUUGACAUCCCGAGAAUCCGCUGGAAACAGUGGAGUGCCGCAAGGAACUCGGUGACAGGCGCUGCAUGGUUGUCGU